rnacentral:piRNA from 1 species
UGAUCCAGGCUGACAACUGUUUGAUGCCU